AUACGGAGGGUGCAAGCGUUAAUCGGAAUUACUGGGCGUAAAGCGCGCGUAGGCGGUUUAGUAAGUCGGAUGUGAAAGCCCAGGGCUCAACCUUGGAAUUGCAUUCGAUACUGCUUAACUAGAGUAUGGUAGAGGGAAGUGGAAUUUCCGGUGUAGCGGUGAAAUGCGUAGAUAUCGGAAGGAACACCAGUGGCGAAGGCGACUUCCUGGGCCAAUACUGACGCUGAGGUGCGAAAGCGUGGGGAGCAAACAGGAUUAGAAACCCCAGUAGUCC
rnacentral:rRNA from 1 species